GACGAACGCUGGCGGCGUGCUUAACACAUGCAAGUCGAACGAAGUGGCGAACGGGUGAGUAACGCGUAAUCAACCUGCCCUUCAGAGGGGGAUAACAGUUGGAAACGACUGCUAAUAGCGCAUACACAAGGAGGGGAUUGCGUCUGAGUAGCUAGUUGGAGGGGUAACGGCCCACCAGGGCGAUGAACAGUAGCCGGUCUGAGAGGAUGACCUGCCACAUUGGGACUUAGACACGGCCCCGACUCCUACGGGAGGCAGCAGUGGGGAUUCUUCCGCUAUUGACGAAAGUCUGACGGAGCAACGCCGCGUGAGGGAUGACGGCCUUCGGGUUGUAAAGCUCUGUUAAUCGGGACGCGGUACCGGAAUAGAAAGCCACGGCUAACUACGUGCCAGCAGCCGCGGUAAUUC
rnacentral:rRNA from 1 species